UACGUAGGGUGCAAGCGUUGUCCGGAAUUAUUGGGCGUAAAGAGUUCGUAGGCGGUUUGUCGCGUCCGUUGUGAAAGCUUGGGGCUCAACCCCAAGUCUGCAGUGGAUACGGGCAGGCUAGAGUCAGGUAGGGGAGAACGGAAUUCCUGGUGUAGCGGUGAAAUGCGCAGAUAUCAGGAAGAACACCCGUGGCUAAGGCGGUUCUCUAGUACGGUACUGACGCUGAGACGCGAAAGCGUGGGGAGCGAACAGG
rnacentral:rRNA from 1 species